rnacentral:rRNA from 1 species
GACGAACGCUGGCGGCGUGCUUAACACAUGCAAGUCGAACGGAAAGGCCCCUUUGGGGGUACUCGAGUGGCGAACGGGUGAGUAACACGUGAGUAACCUGCCCUUGACUUCGGGAUAACUUCAGGAAACUGGGGCUAAUACCGGAUAGGAAUCCUUGCUGCAUGGGGGGGGUUGGAAAGCUUCGGCGGUUUUGGAUGGACUCGCGGCUUAUCAGCUUGUUGGUGGGGUAGUGGCUUACCAAGGCUUUGACGGGUAGCCGGCCUGAGAGGGCGACCGGCCACAUUGGGACUGAGAUACGGCCCAGACGCCUACGGGAGGCAGCAGGGGGGAAUAUUGCACAAUGGGCGGAAGCCGGAUGCAGCAACGCCGCGGGCGGGAUGACGGUCUUCGGGUUGUAAACCGCUUUCAGCAGGGGCGAAGCUUGUGGUGACGGUACCUGCAGAAGAAGCACCGGCUAACUACGUG